rnacentral:lncRNA from 1 species
UGACUGCCCGAAAUAACCUUAACAGGUACUUAAGACUGGGCAGCCAUCCUUAGUCAGAUUACAACACUGGCUGACCUAGAUAACAAUAAAAAGGGCAAAAAAAUUUACAUCAGUGCGCGUCUUUUAUUUAACUCGAUCGUUCUUUAAAAGAAAAGUUUCUGAUGAUAUAAUUUGAAAUCUUUGGAAUUCUUGUGCAGAUGUAAGCAGAGCUGAAUGUGCAAUAAACAGGUUUAUGCAGGUGAGAAUGGAAGGCAACUGGAGGAUGGAAUCUGUUUGGCUGACAGACGAGAGCCUGGGACGAGUUCGUUAUGCUCGGCAGAGUUUACCGCGGUCCUCGAAGGCAUAGAUCUGGUUGGUUCUAACAGGCACGCAGAUGUUGAGCGGAGUGCCAUAGUCCACGUAAAUGAGAACUGAAAAUGCCAGUUCACUCAGUCAAGUAAUUGAUGACCAAGAGACUGCAAAGCUGGAAUACAAUCAGUUUUUAGUAUUGACUGGUGAGCAAAAUUGUACUUUCUAAAUAUGUGAAAGUAAAUUAAUAGACAGCAUGAAAUUCUUUUGUAUCAAUAGUACACAUCAUCCAACCCUUGUAUAAAAGCAGAGCUCUCAAGUCUUACACACACUAAGUGUGAGACUUGGGCAAGCAAAUCAUUAUUCAAUCCUUAUUGACCCCCGUAUGCUAAAACUUAUUUCUUGCAAGGUAAGGUUUUUGAUUGAAGCAG